ensembl:ncRNA asRNA:CR45894 antisense RNA:CR45894
CGUCACUCGUUUCCGGGAAGAUGAUCUUCUCCGUAAAGUUGGUGAACAUGUCCGUCAUUGUAGCUCCAGGACAAACAGUCACAAACUUGAUGCCCGAGCGUUGAUAGUACUUUUCGUUCUAAUUAAGAAAGAGACUUAAAUGAAAAACCUAAUUCAAAAGAUAUGUAAGAAAUUCUUGUUACCGCCAAGCACCGGGUGAAGUUGAUGAUGCCAGCCUUGGUGGCUCCGUAAACGGGAAUGAUGAACAUUGGAUCCAGACCCACCACCGAGCUCAUGUUAACCACAAUGCCACCCUUGCCGCCAUUAUCCUUGCCCAUGUAGGGCAAUGCACUCAGUGUGGAAUUGAUGAUUCCACCGAGAUUUACCAACAGAGUCCUCUGCACAUCCUUGUCGUUAAAAAUCCCGGCUACAUUGACCAC